GAUGAACGCUGGCGGCGUGCUUAACACAUGCAAGUCGAACGAAGUGGCGAACGGGUGAGUAAUACGUGAGUAACCUGCCCUCCUUUUUGGGAUAAGCCUUGGAAACGGGGUCUAAUACCGAAUAAAGGGGGUUGGGCUCGCGGCCUAUCAGCUUGUUGGUGGGGUUAUGGCCGACCAAGGCGGUGACGGGUAGGCGAGCUGGAAGGGUGACCCGGGACAUGGGAAACGGGAUACGGUCCUGAGUCCUGCAGGAGGCGGGAGUGUGGGAUAUUGCGCAAAAGGCGGAAGCAUGAUGCAGCCGCGCCGCGUGAAGGAUGACGGCUUUCAGGUUGUAAUCCUCAUUCGCUAUCGAACGGGUAGGUGGAGAAGAAGCGCCGGCUAACUACGUGCCAGCAGCCGCGGUAAUUC
rnacentral:rRNA from 1 species